UCAAGUGGUGUACUCUAAAGA
rnacentral:miRNA from 1 species